UGCAUAUCAAAAAGCGGAGGAAAAGAAACCAACUGGGAUUGCCUUAGUAACGGCGAGUGAAGCGGCAAAAGCUCAAAUUUGAAAUCUGGUACCUUUGGUGCCCGAGUUGUAAUUUGGAGAGUACCACUUUGGGACUGUACUUUGCCUAUGUUCCUUGGAACAGGACGUCAUGGAGGGUGAGAAUCCCGUGUGGCGAGGGUGUCAGUUCUUUGUAAAGGGUGCUCGAAGAGUCGAGUUGUUUGGGAAUGCAGCUCUAAGUGGGUGGUAAAUUCCAUCUAAAGCUAAAUACAGGCGAGAGACCGAUAGCGAACAAGUACAGUGAUGGAAAGAUGAAAAGAACUUUGAAAAGAGAGUGAAAAAGUACGUGAAAUUGUUGAAAGGGAAGGGCAUUUGAUCAGACAUGGUGUUUUGCGCCCCUUGCCUCUCGUGGGCUUGGGACUCUCGCAGCUCACUGGGCCAGCAUCGGUUUUGGCGGCCGGAAAAAACCUAGGGAAUGUGGCUCUGCGCCUCGGUGUAGAGUGUUAUAGCCCUGGGGAAUACGGCCAGCCGGGACCGAGGACUGCGAUACUUGUUAUCUAGGAUGCUGGCAUAAUGGUUAUAUGCCGCCCGUCUUGAACC
rnacentral:rRNA from 1 species